CACAAAAUGGCAGCAUAACUUUACUCACAAUAAACUUGCAAAUACAAGGUGUAGGCCUUCCUAUUUAUAAGCUAGAUGGCCGUAUAAACUAAGCUAAUAUCUAAUGAAAUGAAAGCCAAAUGAAAUGCAAAUCACCAAGCACAUGUGCCAUGUGCUCAUGACCGGCCAAAGCUAAAGAGAUUCUAGAAUGUUCACACAAUUAUGCUUUCUACACUACUCUAAUUACUAAGCACCCCUAAUGGGCCUCCAUGUAACAUGUACAAGGCUUUCUCUCUUCCAUCCGUGGCUUCAUUCAAUUGGGCGUGAAUGUGCUUAGCCAUUGAUCUUGUAAUUGGGCCUAGACGGUCUAGGCCUCCCCCUAGACGCUCCAUGUGUAGCCUUCCCUCUUCUCGUCCUAGACGCUCCUUCCUUGAGUCUAGACGCUCAUCAUGGUCUAGCUUUGGGUCUUGGCUUUCAUGGUGGGAUGUGCUUGGCCCUCCUCCA
rnacentral:lncRNA from 1 species